GUCAAAUCAUACGAUAUGCAAAUAGAUUCAGAAACUGCAGCGUAGAAUCCGAAACUGGUAGCGUUCAUUUGGCUGAAUUUGAAAUAUACCAAGAUAAACGAGAUCACAAGAUGGCAGGCGCACUGAAUGUCACAAAGCAUAUUUAUCUCAAAAGUAUCGAGGUCAUUGUGCAUCGGUGUUCGUAUGAAAAAUCCGACUGUGAACAUUUUCAAAGUUGGAGGUUUAAUAGAAAUCUGAAGGAAAUCCUUUACAUGAAGAAUCAAAUGUGGACUCCGUUAUUCGGUCAUUUUACUCCCAAAAUUGAUAUUCCAUCAGUAAAAAAAAAUGUUUAUCGAUCGUCUGACGUGUCUCUUGAUCCAAAAGCAAUAAUAACUUGGUAUCCAGAAUGCGUGAAUUACUUUUGGCAAGCAAAUAUUAUAAUGAGAGAUCAAAUGGAUAAGAAAGCCGCCAUAGUGAACUUUGAAUACGCUGUUUUUACCUUCGUUGAGAGAAUUAGGAGAAAGGGUCAAAGAGGUACUCGGAAACAAAAAUAGGAGAACAACGCCUAAGUUCUUUUUUUUUAAUAGUUGGGUAGGUAAUGAUGACUUUUUAAUUUUUAUGAGUCACUCUCAAAAAGUAUAAGGUUUCCAUCCCUAGCAUUUAAAUAACAAUGAACGAAAACGAAAUGUUAAAAAAUCAUUUAAUCCUCUGAACUUUCUUUAUUAUUUUGAUAUAAUCACUGGUAAGAUUUAAGCCCUUUUCCCAUUUGAAAAUCAGGUUUCGCAAUGAUUGUAAUCUUUAAACUGAGGCCCAACUUCUACAGCAUGACACAAAAGUAGUGCUCCCGGGCUUUUAUUUCUAAGAUGAAAGAGCUAGAGAGAUGAAUGAUGCGGCGUUGCGUAGGGAAAAAUAAGGGCUUUCAAAAGUGACCUUGAAAUUUUCAGGGCCAUGCACAAGGUGUCCACAAAUUGAA